CAACUAUCUCACACGUGUAUAAUCGAGUUGGCUACUCAUCGGUCCCGAUCCUGAUAUAAACGAAAAACCGACGGUGUAGAUAGAGACAAUACAAGAUAGUAAAAAUAAAAUUGACAAUUUAGGUUCUCCAAAAUGGGUGGUAAUGCUCCAAUGGGUGCAGAAUCGCUUAAUCCUGAAGAAUUAUGUAAGAGGAAACGACUAGAAUUGGUGAUGACUUUGCAUUUGUUGUCCCACGAUCACCUUUAC